GACGAACGCUGGCGGCGUGCUUAACACAUGCAAGUCGAACGGAAAGGCCCUGCUUUUGUGGGGUGCUCGAGUGGCGAACGGGUGAGUAACACGUGAGUAACCUGCCCUUGACUUUGUGAUAACUUCAGGAAACUGGGGCUAAUACCGGAUAGGAGCUCCUGCUGCAUGGUGGGGGUUGGAAAGUUUCGGCGGUGGGGGAUGGAUUCGGGGCUUAUCAGCUUGUUGGUGGGGUAGUGGCUUACCAAGGCUUUGACGGGUAGCCGGCCUGGGAGGGUGACCGGCGACAUUGGGACUGAGAGACGGCCCAGACUCCUACGGGAGGCAGCAGUGGGGAAUAUUGCACAAUGGGCGGAAGCCUGAUGCAGCAACGCCGCGUGCGGGAUGACGGCCUUCGGGUUGUAAACCGCUUUCGCCUGUGACGAAGCGUGAGUGACGGUAAUGGGUAAAGAAGCACCGGCUAACUACGUG
rnacentral:rRNA from 1 species